rnacentral:rRNA from 1 species
UACAGAGGAUGCAAGCGUUAUCCGGAAUGAUUGGGCGUAAAGCGUCUGUAGGUGGCUUUUUAAGUCCGCCGUCAAAUCCCAGGGCUCAACUCUGGACAGGCGGUGGAAACUACCAAGCUGGAGUACGGUAGGGGCAGAGGGAAUUUCCGGUGGAGCGGUGAAAUGCGUAGAGAUCGGAAAGAACACCAAUGGCGAAGGCACUUUACUGGGCUAUUACUAACACUCAGAGACGAAAGCUAGGGUAGCAAAUGGG